UCCUACGGGAGGCAGCAGUGGGGAAUAUUGCACAAUGGGCGCAAGCCUGAUGCAGCGACGCCGCGUGAGGGAUGACGGCCUUCGGGUUGUAAACCUCUUUCAGUAGGGAAGAAGCGAAAGUGACGGUACCUGCAGAAGAAGCGCCGGCUAACUACGUGCCAGCAGCCGCGGUAAUACGUAGGGCGCAAGCGUUAUCCGGAAUUAUUGGGCGUAAAGAGCUCGUAGGCGGUUUGUCG
rnacentral:rRNA from 1 species